rnacentral:rRNA from 1 species
UACGUAGGGUGCAAGCGUUAAUCGGAAUUACUGGGCGUAAAGCGUGCGCAGGCGGUUAUGUAAGACAGUUGUGAAAUCCCCGGGCUCAACCUGGGAAUUGCGAUGAAGACUGCAAGGCUCGAAUCUGGCAGAGGGGGGUAGAAGUUCCACGUGUAGCAGUGAAAUGCGUAGAGAUGUGGAGGAACACCGAUGGCGAAGGCAGCCCCCUGGGUCAAGAUUGACGCUCAUGCACGAAAGCGUGGGGAGCAAACAGG